AGUCUGCGGUACAGGACCCCUCCGCACCAGGCUGUCUCCCCUCUCACUCCGCCCCGCCGGGUGACAACUGGAAGCCCCUGUGAUGGUUCGGAUUGUGUGUGUCCCUGGCGCUCCGCUCAAUUGGCCGACACUGCCAUCAAAGCGACUUC